CAUAGAGAGAACGAACAAGAGGAAAGAAAGUUCAUUUAAGUGGAGAAAGAUAUAAGAAGGCCGCCAUGUUGUGUCCUUUCUGUGGCCAGCAUCUGGGGACAGUUCAAGUGUUCUGUGGCUCCUGUGGCAAACAUGUACAGUUUUUGGCAGAAGUUGAACACAACAAAGUUGCAAUCAUCCUCCCAGCAUGAAAGUAUUUGUCAUCUUUUGCAGCUGUUGAUAUUUUUUGUUAAAUUAUUAUCACGUUAACCAACAGUUGCCACGUUAUCAUAAAGAUAUACAGUAUAAGAUCAUUUAAUUGUCAAGUAAAUCAAGCUGCAAAAUCCAUAAGCAGCUCCUAUAUUUACAGUACAGUAUUGAACAUAAGACAGAUUUGCGAACAUCAUUACCUGCAUUGUCGAACUUGAGGAAUUUCCUGUCCUGUGGACCAUCAAAUAUUCAGGAACUCACGCUCGGGACCACCAGUGUCCACUCCAUCCUCAGUUUGUCCCUCAUCGUCAGUAAACUUAACCUGCAUCUGAUGAGAGGGGUCCAAUGAGGCCCGUUUGAAGCUGCGGAUUUCUCCAUCCCAUACAUUGGCUCUAUUAAUAUUAAACCUGCUGCAAGAGUUAUUUUUAAUUUUUGCAGAGAGUUCUGCAACAAUGUCUGGCGCAGUCAGGUAUUCUGUGCUGGGAAAGACAAAGUGAUGUAUUGUAAUAUUAAAUGAUGAAGCUAGUAAUAAGAUUUACAGUAUAGAAUAAAAAAAUUAAGUGAUAAAAGUAACAAUUAAUACAUUUCCUCUGCAGUUUGCUCCGUUUCCUCUUCUGGCUCAGACUGACUAUCAAUAAUGAUAAGUGCAUACACAGUUGUGUAGUUGCUGCAUUGAGAAGACAGUUGAAUAAUUACUUUCAAAUACAUAAUAUAUGCAUGACAGUCAUAUUUGCAAAAGGAUGUCGAUCCUCUUCCUGGUUUUUUUAAUACAUUGGGUUCUAAACUGACAACAGCACUUUGUCAUACUCCUGCACAAUCCUUGUAAACAUUUGAAAUGGAUGCAACAAACAAUAUCUGACCUUUGAAAAAUAUUUGUGGGUGUUUUUUGUAUCGUCUUCACUAAGAUGUUGUGGGUGUCCUUUGGAAAUGUAUGAAAGUAUAAUUGUUCUGCUUCCUGGCAAUAUUACCCACUGGGAUUGGGAGGCUAUGCAAACAACCAAAUGUACAAAUAAAAAUACACACCAAACAACUGUGUCACGAUGCAACUGUCAACAUCGUUUACCUAUAGAAGGUGUUCUGACCCGGGGCAGAUUGGACCUCUUCCUGGAAUGGGGUUGGUUCUCCAUCCUACUUUUACCCAAUAAAUAAUGAUGCAGUUUAUCUAAUGACAGUGUCAUUAGCACACAUUACAAAGGUAUUUAUUGAUUUCAUGUUCACAAAUUCAAACCUACAUGGUAUAAUUACAUGUUUAAUUAGUCUUACCCGAUCAGACGCUGGUUGUGGGUGCCUGAGAGGUCUGAUAAAGGUAAACAAAAAAUAUAUUCAAACUACUGUACUGUUAAAACAUUCUGCUUCUUGUGGCACAAAAUAACAUGUUGACAAUGUUUUAUUUUACCCUGGCAAACUGUUGUCCAUUCUGGGAGUGCUCUGUUCAUUUGGAAAGUCCCACACCUGCAUACAACACACAAAUGACUGACUGAA